AAACGUGGGCAAGCCCAACCAAAAGAAAUGCCAUAAGCCAAGAGGGGCUCAGCCCAAUAUAUCAGAAAGCUUUUUGUUUUUUUUGGGAAGGUACCAUAUCAGAAAGCUGUUGGAGAUGACCUUCGUGCAAAAUUAGGGCAUUGAAGUUGCAAUAAAGAGUUUUGGUUGAUAAUCUGCAGAGCUAGCCAGAGAAUGAGUGAACUAAACUGGUUUGAUCUUCACGGUUGAGGUCUAGCUGAGCAGGAGUGUCAAUGGACCUUAGCUUAAGGAUUUGCCUCAACAGAGCUGAAGGAAGGACCCAAUUUCCAUCUCUGACGAGCGCACUGACUUUGGCAAAUUGAGCUUCAGAGAUGGUAUGGAUGGAGAGAUUGUUAAUUCUGCAUGAAAUAGGACUCAAUGGCAUUCAAGCAUCAUACUAGAACAUGGUGGACUCUUCAUUGCCUAUAUGAUGUUUGAUAAAAGGCCUAGCAAUGGACCUUAGCUGCGGCUUUUUUCAUCCAAGUGCUAGAGGGAAUUUUGAGAGUGCCCAGGCACGGGAGAGUAUGACAAGUUCUUUGGUGAUGGAGUCUACAACUGUGCAGGAUGCAGUACUCCUCUCUACAGGUCCACGACUAAAUUUAACUCUGGAUGUGGAUGGCCAGCUUUCUAUGAGGGUCUCCCCGGAGCAAUAAAUCGCACCAAGAACCAGGAGUGUUAUUUUGCUCUGCAUCAACAUUCCUUCCACUGUUGAUAUCAACUUCAACUUCAUCUGUUGGUUGCUGAAUUAAUGAAUGCGGCUGCAACGUCUCUUGUCCAUCAUGUAAGACUCCAAGCCCAA